GUGCUCACUUCCAUAGCACAUAUACUUAAAACUGUAAUGAUACAGGAAAGAUUAGCACGCCCCCGUGUAAGAGUAACACUCAAAUUUGUGAUGCAUACCAUAUUUUU
rnacentral:snRNA from 1 species